GGCUGGUCUGUGUGCAGUGAUGUUUACAACUAAUCAAUCACAACCAGUUACAGUUUCCUUUGUUCCUUCUCCACUCCCAUUGCUUCACUUGACUAGCCUUAA
ensembl:misc_RNA Y_RNA Y RNA